AUAAUUCAAUUAUUUAUUUAUUAAUAAAAGAUAAAUUCCCAAAAAUACACCAAUUCUUAUAUAUUUAGAGUACGUAACAUUUUCGUUAUGCGAAUAAUAGAGUUGAUUAAUACCAUAUUUUUGACACGUUACCGGUUGCCAACUCGUGAUUGUUUUCAAAAAAAACAAAAAAAAAAAAGAACAAAUCUUAAAAUCCAUCCAUAAAUACCCUUUAACAUAUUUUUGUCCAAACUAAUAUAGUUUUUUU
rnacentral:lncRNA from 1 species